UACGUAGGAGGCGAGCGUUGUCCGGAUUCACUGGGCGUAAAGGGCGCGUAGGCGGCGGCUUGAGUCCCUGCGUGAAAUCUCCCGGCUCAACCGGGAGGGUGCGCGGGAUACUGGGCGGCUUGAGGACAUCAGAGGAGAGCGGAAUCCCCGGUGUAGUGGUGAAAUGCGUAGAUAUCGGGGGGAACACCAGUGGCGAAGGCGGCUCUCUGGGGUGCACCUGACGCUGAUGCGCGAAAGCGUGGGGAGCGAACGGG
rnacentral:rRNA from 1 species